ACCCCCCAGGGGGUCUCGACCCACACGAACCCCUGUGCUAGACUGACACAAAGGCCAUACCACCACAUAGAGUUAUUUAUACAGCCUGUGAGAGUUACGCGUUACAUUUCGGCUGGCACUGGGAGGAUGCAUUGAACCUUAUUCUGACUAAAUGAUCCCCGUUUGAAACAUAUCGAGUAUACAGUUGACCAGAGGAGAAGUGGACUCUACAGGCGUGUUUCCACCUUUAAAUACGGACCUUUUGUUUUGACAGCAACAUGUGACGUGUGUAUGACGCACACAGCCUGGCUAACCACUAACCCAACUCGUGCUCCAGGGGAAACUUUACAACAGCCGCAUGUGAAGCUUCAGAGGGAUCCAGGCAGAUUCCCCCGACCUGAGAGCAUUACAGAAGCAUCCUGCAGACUACUUACCGACUAACCUCAUUACAUCACAGGCUUUUAGCUUCUUCAGCAGAAGCACAGCCUCCUUGGUCUUCUUGUAUCCCUCAACGUUGUCCUCUACCACCAGUGGGACCUCAGGGAUCUCCUCAUCGCAGGGACAGAUCCAGACCUUUUCAAAGGGCAUGGCUCUAAUGGGGGCUCUGACUAAUGUUGGGUUGGCAUGAAGUUUGUGUGAACUUGGAACAUGAAUGAACCCACUUCAACUACUAACAAUGAAGUAUCUUGUAGAAGUUUUAUUCCUGUGUAUUACUUUUUUAUCAGAGUGUUAUUUCAUAAAUCUUCUAAGCUUAAUUCUUUAAAGACUCAAAAGACGACAUAGACUUCAAAGUCACAUUAACACGUGCAAAUUUUCUUCAGUCCAGUUACAACCAUUCUGAUUAUAAAUUCCAACUUCACUGUUAACUUGGAUGCUAAAUAAGAUGGUCUGAUUGAGGUGAGUUUGUGCAUGCAUCAAGGAUUUCAUCAAAAGAAAGCCAUUUUGACAUGUGCAGAGUUGUUCCAGCAGUCUGAUGUGCCUUUAUGUGAAAUAGCAGAAGUAAAUGUUUCUUCUGCCUAAAUGCUGCCGUCACUGUGUCAUGCACAUUAGUGGUUCUCAAAGUGGGGGUCAUAAGACACUAAUGGGGGGUUGCAAAACUUCCUCCAGAAUGUUUUUUUUAAAGUAAUCUAAAACAGCAUAUUUGACUAAUCAUUGUAAAUAGAAACAAAUUUGAAAUACAGCCUAGCAAAUAAAAAAUAUAGCAUAGCCAUAUGUGCAUGCAGGUGGCAAAUUUUCUGCAGACCAGCUAAAUGAAAUAUGAAGCAGAAUUUAACCACCUCAAGGGACAAUAAGCACGUCUUUGACACUCUUAUUUUGGAGGUCGGGGGCUGAAAAGUUUGUGAACCCCUGCUGUACAUAGUUUGUUACAAAUAAAGUUUUAAAAAAUCUGA